GAUGAACGCUAGCGGCAGGCUUAAUACAUGCAAGUCGAGGGGCAGCACAGUGUAGCAAUACAUGGGUGGCGACCGGCAUACGGGUGCGGAACACGUACGCAAUCUACCUUCAACUGGAACAUAGCCCCGGGAAACUGGGAUUAAUAUUCCAUAAUAUUAUAGGGCGGCAUCACCUUAUAAUUAAAGCUCAGGCGGUUGAAGAUGCGCGUGCGCCUGAUUAGCUAGUUGGCGGGGUAACGGCCCACCAAGGCAACGAUCAGUAACUGGCGUGAGAGCGCGACCAGUCACACGGGCACUGAGACACGGGCCCGACUCCUACGGGAGGCAGCAGUAGGGAAUAUUGGUCAAUGGAGGCAACUCUGAACCGGCCAUGCCGCGUGCAGGAUGAAGGCCCUCUGGGUCGUAAACUGCUUUUAUCAGGGAAGAAACCUCCGGAUUCAUCUGGUGUUGACGGUACCUGAGGAAUAAGCACCGGCUAACUCCGUGCCAGCAGCCGCGGUAACAC
rnacentral:rRNA from 1 species